AGGUGAAGUUGGUCAGAGUAGUAUGACCAACAUUGAUGCUGGGAUAUGUUUUAGUUAGAUUUUGCAUCUACAUUAUUGUUAUUAUUCAGUUUGUACAUUUUCACUUUUGUUUGAACUUUUUUGAAGUUCAAAUUUAGUAUUUUAAAGUUGAAUUUGAUGCAAUUGAAAGUUAAUCUAGAGUUGAUUCACAGAGUCAAAAGCAUAGUAGGGGUAGUAGGCAAUGAAUUUAUCUCAAACCUUUUGCAAAGACAUUUGAGCUUUACAUCUUUCCUCAUAUUGCAAAUCUUUUCAUGUGUGGAUGAGUUGGAAGCUUCCUUUACACAUGGAGAAAUGAAAGUCUUGGAAGCCAUUGAUUGCCGAAGUUUUUAUGCGGAAUGAUAGAGCUUUGUAGGAAAAGGGGCAUGUGAGAAUCAUGGAGCUUGUAACAUCUUCAAAUAAAGCUCAUCUUCUCCUCUCUCUAGGUUCCCAAAUCCUUUUGUAGGGUAAGGAAUGUGUGUUUGGGGUUCGUAGGAGGUGGGUCCCAAGGGAUGUGUGCAUUCUUUUUACCUUCAAAAUGAUUAGAAGUGGAUUUUUGUACCGCUUGCAGAUUUCUUUAGGUAGCUAGAAUUCUGGUAUUUGUGCCUGCUGAGCGAGUGGUUAGCAGUCCUUUUAUACAAGUAUCAAGUGUUUGACAUAGCUAGCUAAAUGAAGAUAUUCAUUUGGUAUCCAA